UACGUAGGGUGCGAGCGUUGUCCGGAAUUAUUGGGCGUAAAGGGCUCGUAGGCGGUCUGUUGCGUCGGGAGUGAAAACUCAGGGCUUAACCCUGAGCCUGCUUCCGAUACGGGCAGACUAGAGGUAUGCAGGGGAGAACGGAAUUCCUGGUGUAGCGGUGAAAUGCGCAGAUAUCAGGAGGAACACCGGUGGCGAAGGCGGUUCUCUGGGCAUUACCUGACGC
rnacentral:rRNA from 1 species